rnacentral:rRNA from 1 species
CCUACGGGUGGCAGCAGUGAGGAAUAUUGGUCAAUGGGCGAGAGCCUAAACCAGUCAAGUCGCGUGAGGGAGUACUGCCCUAUGGGUUGUAAACCUCUUUUGUCGGGGAGCAAAAGCCGGACGUGUCCGGCUGUGAGAGUACCCGAAGAAAAAGCAUCGGCUAACUCCGUGCCAGCAGCCGCGGUAAUACGGAGGAUGCGAGCGUUAUUCGGAGUUAUUGGGUUUAAAGGGUGCGCAGGCGGAUUUUUAAGUCGGUGGUCAAAUCGUGGGGCUCAACCCCAUCCAGCCGUUGAAACUGGGGAUCUAGAGUGUGCGAGAGGUAUGCGGAAUGCGUGGUGUAGCGGUGAAAUGCAUAGAUAUCACGCAGAACCCCGAUUGCGAAGGCAGCAUACCGGCGCCCUACUGACGCUGAGGCACGAAAGUGCGGGUAUCGAACAGGAUUAGAUACCCCGGUAGUC